GGCACACACACAUAAAUAAAUAUAAUGGCUCACCUCGAUUUUUUUUUCAUUUGUUGAAAUAGAGGAAGCAAUUUUAACUUUAGUACGACUCCGUCACAAUGGGAAAAUGUUAUGUUUCCUGUUCUGGUUAUGCUAUGCUACGAUUCUGUCGUCCUACGUGAGUCUCCAUAAACCCAGCAAUAGCAUGCUAGCUACAGACGGACAAACAACCAUACACAAAUAUAUAUUAAAUAUAAUAUAUAUAUUUAAAGAAAACCGUUUUGGUUUUUUCCCUGUCUGCGCCGUUACUUUCUUCUUUUAGAGGAAAUAAUUCUAACUUUAUGUUACGUAUCAGUCAGAUGUUAAGGUUCUCUCGUCCUACACUAUUUUUCACUAUCUGGAAGCUCAAGUGGCAUUGUAGCGAUCGUACGGACAAACACAAAUACUGCAGAUUGCUUUAGAAGUACUUACAUUUUUGGAUAUGUUUAUUUUCAUUUUUGCAAUUUAAGUAAAAUACAAAUAAACCAAUAAUACAGUCCCGUUCGUCCAGUCCUAUACGUCAUUUUCACGAAUCCGGAAGUAACCUGAUACCGGUGUAAACUUGUCUUUACACAAGAUAAAGAAAAGAAAGACAAAUAUUCUAUCGUUCUGACUUAUUUUUUCACUUUUGUUAAAUGCUUUUUUUAUGAAAAUGAUGUCAUGUAACGCCUUUCUAAUAUGAUAUUUAACUGAGAUUUGUGGCUAACAAUUCCGCCUGGCAGUAAGUCGUCGCGAAAAUGUGACGUAACCAGCAAAUUGAAGUAUGUCACUUUGAUCCGCGCUGUUGCACCUGAUAGCUAUAAAGUGAAUACAUGCUUUGAAGUAAAAUUUAUAGUACAGGAUCUAGCUUAUUUGUUGUAUUUGUGGUUUAAUAUUGUUAUUGGAAGAGAAUGAGACGUCUCCUCCGAUACAUCUUGCUCUUCAUGCGGUGGUAGACGCUCCAGAUAACACCUACAAAGAUGGCCAGGAAGCCAAGCGUCACCAGGACGUAAGCCAGGACGAGUGCCUCUGAGUCCACAUAGCCGGCCUCCAGGGACAGUAGGGUUCUUGAAAUGUCUUCACUCAAGUGGACACUCCAAGUGAUUGCAACCUCCUCCACAAGAGUUUAAAGACGCAUCACUAAGAAGCUCCUGUGAUGUUCGCAGUGUGGUGCGGUUGUGUGGUGGCAAUGAGGAAGUGUUGCUCCGACGAGGAAGGGACAAAAGACGCGUUUCAGAAAGACGGCCUGCUUGCGGAAGAUCUUCACCAGCGAAUCGUCCAGUUCCACUUCCUGAAGCUUGGCCAACAGCUGCUCCUCGUUGCGGCACACCUUCUCCUGAGCAUACAGCCCGUCCGGCAUCACCCGCUGCUGGCCCAGGCCAAUCAGAGCCGUCUCCACCGCCAGCGCCACGUACGACUCGCCGUCGCCCAGCAGUCUCUGCACGGGCAGCCGCUGGAGGUCCGCUCGUGUCACCACGCUGGAGCAGUCUGGGAAGAGGCACGAAGGUGAGUUAUUUUUAUUAUUAUAACCCUUUUACAGAUGGUUCUCGGGUUACAUCGGGGUUUCCUUGCUAGUUUUGGUGUGUCGGAUCUUACACCUAAAUUAACUUCUAAGUCACUCACACUGUACACAGAACACAUGAAGGACUUCAAAUACAGUAAUAAAACACUAAAUGCAAGAAUGAAAUCAAAAAGGGUGAGGAGCUCGGUCAUCCGGGAGGAGCUCAGAGUAGAGCCGCUGCUCCUUCAUAUCGAGAUGAGCCAGUCGAGGUGGCUCGGGCAUUUAGUCCGGAUGCCUCCCGAACGCCUCCCUGGCGAGGUGUUCCGGGCAUGCCCAGCCGGGAGAAGGCCCCGGGGCAGACCUAGGACACGCUGGAGGCAUUAUGUCUCACAGCUGGACUGGGAACGCCUCGGUGUCCUUCCGGUGGAACUGAAAGAGGUGGCUGGAGAGCAGGAACUCUGGACUUCCCUGAGACUGCUUCCCCCGUGACCCGGACCCGGAUAAGCGGAAG